AGUGAACGCUGGCGGUAGGCCUAACACAUGCAAGUCGAACGGCAGCACAGUAAGAGCUUGCUCUUACGGGUGGCGAGUGGCGGACGGGUGAGGAAUACAUCGGAAUCUACUUUUUCGUGGGGGAUAACGUAGGGAAACUUACGCUAAUACCGCAUACGACCUACGGGUGAAAGCAGGGGAUCUUCGGACCUUGCGCGAUUGAAUGAGCCGAUGUCGUAUUAGCUAGUUGGCGGGGUAAAGGCCCACCAAGGCGACGAUCCGUAGCUGGUCUGAGAGGAUGAUCAGCGACACUGGAACUGGGACACGGUCCAGACUCCUACGGGAGGCCGCAGUGGGGAAUAUUGGACAAUGGGCGCAAGCAUGAUCCAGCCAUACCGCGUGGGUGAAGAAGGCGUUCGGGUUGUAAAGCCCUUUUGUUGGGAAAGAAAAGCAGCAGGUUAAUACCACGCUGUUCUGACGGUACCCAAAGAAUAAGCACCGGCUAACUUCGUG
rnacentral:rRNA from 1 species